CCCUUAGAUGUUCUGGGCCGCACGCGCGCUACACUGAUGCAUUCAACGAGUUUCUUCCUGGUCCGAGAGGAAUGGGUAACCUUUUGAAAGUGCAUCGUGAUAGGGAUAGACUAUUGCAAUUAUUGGUCUUCAACGAGGAAUUCCUAGUAGACGUAGUUCAUCAGACUGCAUUGAUUACGUCCCUGCCCUUUGUACACACCGCCCGUCGCUCCUACCGAUUGAAUGCUCAGGUGAGCCAUUCGGACUUUCAUCAUGCUGGUUUCCAGUUUUGAUGAAGGAAAGUCUUGCGAACCUUAUCAUUUAGAGGAAGGAGAAGUCGUAACA
rnacentral:rRNA from 1 species